rnacentral:snoRNA from 1 species
ACCUGAUGAGACCUACGCUGGCACCAGUCCGAGAAAGACUUGUACUCUUUUUGCUGCGGAUUAGCAUGCCGCAAGGAACAUAUACAAAUCCUUGCCUGAA